GUGACUAUAGCUCAAUUGGUAGAGUGCUGGAUUGUGGAUCCGGUGGUUAUGGGUUCGAUCCCCAUUAGUCACCCA
rnacentral:tRNA from 1 species